ACCUGGCUGGCUCAGUCAGAAGAGCAUGUGACUCUUGAUUAUGAGGUCAUGAGCUCGAACCCCAUGUUGGGUG
rnacentral:tRNA from 1 species